rnacentral:lncRNA from 1 species
CUCGGGGCCUCGGACGGGGCGGGGCGGCCUUCCGUGCCGCCGGACCUCACCCCUCCCGGCCCGGGUCGCCCCGUCCGCCGGGAGGGCGCUCGCAGCCCAGGCUUCGGGGAGAGCGCGGCGGUGAGACGCGGCUCCACGUGAGCCAAAGCUGCGGAAACACCGCGCUCUCCCCCGAGCUUCGCGGCGAGGCGUGUAACCCUACACCCGGGGCGCGGGGGCGGAGGGGGGAGGCUCGGCCUGCGGCUGGCGGCUGUCGGGGUGGAAGCCGAGGAAUGCCCUUUGUCUGGACAACUUUUCCGGAGGAGGCGCCCUCUCCCAGGGGCUGUCUCCUUGGAGGUCAAGGGGGAGGGAACGGAGCCCCAACUAUUUCCAAACCUAUUUCUCCACAACAAACUAUAAGAGAAUUAGGACCCAGGAGAUUCCGGAAAUCUCUACAAAGGGAAAGUGCUGAUCAUCUUUCCGACUGCUAACAAGCUUCACUGUCCAGCGCCCGUUGCUCUCUGUUUGCACUGAGGCAGUAGAGUCACCAUCUAGGUGACAGACCUAGCUGCCUACCAUGAGGACCGCAGCGUGCGGACUGCUGCGCAGAGGGUAUGGAGUGUCAGGGAAGGAUGGGAAGGAGGCCUGCCCUUGAGUGAGUAAGAGUUACUCUGCACAAAGCGGGGAAGAGGGCAUCUGGGCAGGACAAGGCAUCCAGGCCUGAGAGCGGCUGUUUGGGGAGCUGUCUGUGGGUGGAGUA